AGUCGAGCGGUAGAGAGAAGCUUGCUUCUCUUGAGAGCGGCGGACGGGUGAGUAAUGCCUAGGAAUCUGCCUGGUAGUGGGGGAUAACGUUCGGAAACGGACGCUAAUACCGCAUACGUCCUACGGGAGAAAGCAGGGGACCUUCGGGCCUUGCGCUAUCAGAUGAGCCUAGGUCGGAUUAGCUAGUUGGUGAGGUAAUGGCUCACCAAGGCGACGAUCCGUAACUGGUCUGAGAGGAUGAUCAGUCACACUGGAACUGAGACACGGUCCAGACUCCUACGGGAGGCAGCAGUGGGGAAUAUUGGACAAUGGGCGAAAGCCUGAUCCAGCCAUGCCGCGUGUGUGAAGAAGGUCUUCGGAUUGUAAAGCACUUUAAGUUGGGAGGAAGAGCAGUUACCUAAUACGUGAUUGUUUUGACGUUACCGACAGAAUAAGCACCGGCUAACUCUGUGCCAGCAGCCGCGGUAAU
rnacentral:rRNA from 1 species